UCAUAUGGUCGCCCACUGAAGCUAAGCAGGGCUGCGCCCGGUCAGUACUAGGAUGGGUGACCACAUGGGAAAGCCAGGUUGCUGCCGGAA
rnacentral:rRNA from 1 species